UUCUGACAGUUGUCAAAAAAUGCGCGGUUAUCGAUAUCGUUCGACCUCGAGCUGACAACUUUUAAGAAAAGUGAAAAAGUUAGGCUACUACUAAUAUUAAAAACGGAAUACAGCCUAAUCAAUCGAAUUAGAUGCAAUUCCUUUAUCGGCACUAUCUACGAUGGAGACGAUGAGCACCACAGGUACAUUCUGUUUGGGCAGCGUUCCGUUGCGGACAUGAACGAAACGGAAAUCGAACUCCUGUCGGGAAUAUGCAGCGAAGGAGGACAAUGAAAGCUGAUCCGGGUAAAAGCCCUGUGGAAAGUCCAACUUGCAGGAUUUUUUCUCAUCAUCGAUGCUGAGCAGCCAGAGAUGUGAAAUGAUUGCCAGCUCAAGAUUGGCGAUAAACGGUUGGAUGGGAGUUACUUUUCCGGUCCAUAAUAAUCCUGCAGUCCUUCUGGAAGCGGCAUUGGUUCGGCGUUGCAACUCCUGCCAUGAAAAGGCAGCAAAAGUCUUCGGCAAAGCGAUAACAGCGUUGUUGUCCUUUAUGGUCUGAUGGAAGCGAUAGAGCAAGAGCGAGGGUGGUCGAAAAAUCAGGUUGAUAUACCAUAAUACCAUAUGCUUGGCCAAUCCUUGAGGCCUAGAUGUCAAGACUUCCUUGUUCAGGUUGGAUGGAGUGAGAGCUCAACGGAAGGUAAAGAUGUUCAACCAAUCAAAAUCAACAGAAUGGGUUAUAUGUAUUUACAUAACGCAUCGCAAAGGGGUCUCCAGUAGCCUUGCGAGCAAAAGCGUAGGAUUGCCAAUCCGGAAAUGGCAAGUUCGAUUCUCGGUCCGGUCCGGUCCGGCCCUGGGCAUAGUGUAUACAUUGUACACAGAGGGCAUAGUUUUCUGAACAGGACAUGAACCGCUCGAUCGACUUCGUUCAGGAGGAGAAGUGGAUGAUCAUGGACAGCGAUGGAGAAGACUGUUCCAGAUAUGACUGAAUAUCCGGGUCCAUACCUCAAGGAGGCGUUCUAUUCAGGAAAGUUUUUCACGCAUAGGCAAUGGUUGAUUGGAAGUUGAACGGCAGUCUACGAUUGGAGGAAAUAUCUCAUCUUCGAGGAACGCAUCUGUUGAGACCGAUCGCGUUCGGAGAUGUAUGCGUGGAGUUGCAUGGGGACUAGGAUAGUGACACGAUGCAGAUCUAGAUCGACGGUUCGCUGAGAGGUUGGCACGAGUGAUAAAGCACACUGUUUUCAACGUGAGUGUUUGCAUCGGAUAUCGUUGGAGCUGUCGAGGGAAAUUCACGUAGUGUUGGACAGCUACAAAAGCACACGAAAUUGUUUAAAAUUUAAUUCGCAAUACAUCUUUCGAUCGCGGAAGAUCAGUACGUGGCAAUACCAGACAGGGUUUCUUUUCCAGUUUAAGAAUAAAUUAAAUAAAUAAA